rnacentral:misc_RNA from 1 species
UAGCCUGUCCUAAUCUCAAAGCCAAGCUGCCACUAGAACCCAAAGCCCCUGGAAGUUCAUCCAUGUCGUUACAGACAUGCCAGAGACUUGCACAAAUUUGCUAAUAUAAUGAACAGAGAUGUUUGUCAUAUCCAAUUCCAACUUGCUACGCAUGCCAUGCCACGUUUACAUCAAAGAGGAAGAAGCAACCGAACAGAGGAAAAACGGAAAACAAUUUUGGGGAAAAAAAAUUAAUGAUAAGAAGAGGUAGUUGUGACGUGUGAAUGAGAAAAAGAUGAUGUUUCCCUCUAAUGUCUUUUGUUAAGCUUUUAAUUUGGGGCAAGACGAUCUUGUCUGGCUUCCAAAAUAAACAGGUUCAGUGGUUGCGGGGAUACAAAAUUGAAG